GACGAACGCUGGCGGCGUGCUUAACACAUGCAAGUCGAACGGAAAGGCCCAGCUUGCUGGGUACUCGAGUGGCGAACGGGUGAGUAACACGUGGGUGAUCUGCCCUUCACUCUGGGAUAAGCCUGGGAAACUGGGUCUAAUACCGGAUAUGACCAACUGUCGCAUGGUGGUUGGUGGAAAGCUUUGGCGGUGUGGGAUGGGCCCGCGGCCUAUCAGCUUUUUGGUGGGGUAAUGGCCUACCAAGGCGACGACGGGUAGCCGACCUGAGAGGGGGAUCGGCCACACUGGGACUGAGACACGGCGCAGACUCCUACGGGAGGCAGCAGUGGGGAAUAUUGCACAAUGGGCGCAAGCCUGAUGCAGCGACGCCGCGUGAGGGAUGACGGCCUUCGGGUUGUAAACCUCUUUCACCAGGGACGAAGCGUGAGUGACGGUACCUGGAGAAGAAGCACCGGCCAACUACGUG
rnacentral:rRNA from 1 species